GCCGGAGUAGCUCAGUGGUAGAGCAACACUUUCGUAAAGUGUGGGUCGGGAGUCCGAUUCUCCCCUCCGGCU
rnacentral:tRNA from 1 species